UCCGGAAUUUAUUGGGCGUACAGGGUGCGUAGGCGGUUGUGUAAGUUUGAGGUUAAAUCCCGGAGCUCAACUCCGGUCCGCCUUGAAAACUACAUGACUAGAAUACAAGAGAGGUAAAUGGAAUUCCAUGUGUAGCGGUAAAAUGCGUAGAUAUAUGGAAGAACACCUGUGGCGAAAGCGGUUUACCAGCUUGUUAUUGACGCUGAGGCACGAAAGCGUGGGGAGCAAAUAGGAUUAGAUACCCUAGUAGUCCACGCCGUAAACGUUGAGUACUAGGUGUCGGGAAUUAUCUCGGCGCCGCAGCUAACGCAUUAAGUACUCCGCCUGAGUAGUAUGCACGCAAGUGUGAAACUCAAAGGAAUUGACGGGGACCCGCACAAGUGGUGGAGCAUGUGGUUUAAUUCGAAGCAACACGAAGAACCUUACCAGGGCUUGACAUCCAGUGCAAAGGCAUAGAGAUAUGCUGGAGGCUAACAUUGAGACAGGUGGUGCAUGGUUGUCGUCAGUUCGUGCCGUGAGGUGUUUGGUUAAGUCCAGCAACGAACGCAACCCUUGUCAUUAGUUACUAACAUUUAGUUGAGGACUCUAAUGAGACUGCUAGUGUAAGCUAGAGGAAGGUGGGGAUGACGUCAAAUCAUCAUGCCCCUUAUGUCCUGGGCUACACACGUGCUACAAUGGCUGAUACAAAGAGUCGCAAUCUCGCAAGGAGGAGCUAAUCUCAUAAAAUCAGUCUCAGUUCGGAUUGAAGGCUGCAACUCGCCUUCAUGAAGCCGGAAUCACUAGUAAUCGCGAAUCAGCUAUGUCGCGGUGAAUACGUUCUCGGGUCUUGUACACACCGCCCGUCACACCAUGAGAGUUGGUAACACCAGAAGCAGGUA
rnacentral:rRNA from 1 species